rnacentral:rRNA from 1 species
UACGUAGGGUGCAAGCGUUGUCCGGAAUCAUUGGGCGUAAAGCGCGUGUAGGCGGCCCGGUAAGUCCGCUGUGAAAGUCCAGGGCUCAACCCUGGGAUGCCGGUGGAUACUGUCGGGCUCGAGUCCAGAAGAGGCGAGUGGAAUUCCGUGGUGUAGCGGUGAAAUGCGCCAGAUAUCAGGAGGAACACCAUGGCGAAGGCAGCUCGCUGGGACGUGACUGACGCUGAGACGCGAAAGCGUGGGGAGCAAACAGG